rnacentral:rRNA from 1 species
AUUGAACGCUGGCGGCAGGCUUAACACAUGCAAGUCGAGCGGAGAUGAGGUGCUUGCACCUUAUCUUAGCGGCGGACGGGUGAGUAAUGCUUAGGAAUCUGCCUAUUAGUGGGGGACAACAUUCCGAAAGGAAUGCUAAUACCGCAUACGCCCUACGGGGGAAAGCAGGGGAUCUUCGGACCUUGCGCUAAUAGAUGAGGCUAAGUCGGAUUAGCUAGUUGGAGGGGUAAAGGCCUACCAAGGCGACGAUCUGUAGCGGGUCUGAGAGGAUGAUCCGCCACGCUGGGACUGGAGCACGGCCCAGAUUCCUACGGGAGGCAGCAGUGGGGAAUAUUGGACAAUGGGCGGCAGCCUGAUCCAGCCAUGCCGCGUGUGUGAAGAAGGCCUUUUGGUUGUAAAGCACUUUAAGCGAGGAGGAGGCUACCUGGAUUAAUACUCUAGGAUAGUGGACGUUACUCGCAGAAUAAGCACCGGCUAACUCUGUGCCAGCAGCCGCCGCCGUAA